rnacentral:lncRNA from 1 species
UGAAAUUGGGGUGAAAGUCAGGGAACGGGCAAUGAGUCCAUGUAUUUGUGUUUUCAGGGAGGUGUUAGGGAAAGGUGGAGGAAGGCGAAGAGAAGGCUAAGGAAGCCUAAGAACUGCGGCUGCAGAGUCACGGAAACACUUCGCUCCGCUCCAGGAUCACUGGCACAGGCCUUUGCCAGGGCGAACUCCGGGCAAGACCCGUGACCCCACCCCAGAAAACUCCCGACUCCCGGGCUGGAGAAGGUAGCCAAGAUCAUUCUCAGUUGCCAUAUGGCAAAGACACAGGAAGCUGCCCUGUGUAGAGACCCACAUGGCAAGGAACUGAGACAUCCUGCCAACAACCACCAGAGUCUGAGGCCUGCUGCCAUCACCACAUUAUGGCUUGCUAUGGCAGUCAGCCCCCAAGAUGGACCCCAUUGAUUCUGGACUCCUGGUGCCAAAACCAUUGUACCCAGAUCAACUGCAAACAAGAACAGAGUUUUAAUGGAAAUUUUAAACAAGUAAGAUGAAAAUCCUGAAGCAUUUCUUUCAAGAAUUGUAACAGGAGAUGAAACAUGGCUUUACCAGUAUAAUCCCGAAGACAAAGUACAAUCAGAGCAAUGGCUACCAAGAGGUGGAAGUGGUCCAGUCAAAGCAAAAGCAGACCUGCCAAGAGCAAAGGUCGUGGGAAUAGUUUUUUGGGAUACUUAUUUUGCUUGUUGACUUUCUGAAGAGCCAAAGAACAAUAAUAUCUGCUUGUUUCAAGAGUGUUUUGAGAAAGUUUGCUAAAGCUUUAGCAGAAAAAUUCCUGGAAAAGCUUCACCAGUCUUUUUCUACCGCAACAAUGCUCCCACUCAUUCUUCUCAUCAAACAAGGGCAAUUUUACAAGACUUUCAAUGAGAAAUCAUUAGGCAUCGACCUUACAGUCCUAAUUUGGCUCUUUCUAACUUCUUUUUGUUUCCUAAUCUUAAAAAAUCUGCAAAGGGCUCCCAUUUUUCGUCAUUUAAUCAUGUAAAAAAGACAUGGUUAAAUUUCCAUGAAUCUCAAUUUUUUUAGGGAUGGAUUAAAUGACUGGUGUCAUCACUUACAACCAUGGUUGACCUCGAUGGAGCUUAUGUUGAGAAAUAAAGUUUAUAUUCUUUAUCUUUUAAUUCAAUUUUUCCAUGAACAUUUUGAAGUGCCUCAUAUUAUAAAUGAUAUUUCAUUGUUAGUGGUUCAUUAAUAGGGUAUUUAAAUACAAUUCUUUUUUAAUAUUAGUCCUGUACACUGAGAUCAUGUUUAAAAACCUAUUAGUUCUAGUAGUAUUUUAUAGAUUUCUUUUGAUUUUCUAUGUAUACAAUCAUGUUUCUCCAAAUAAAGAGUUUUAUUUUUUUCCUUCCA